rnacentral:rRNA from 1 species
AUCGAGUGGCGAACGGGUGAGUAACGCGUGAGGAACCUGCCUCAAAGAGGGGGACAACAGUUGGAAACGACUGCUAAUACCGCAUAAGCCCACGGGUCGGCAUCGACCAGAGGGAAAAGGAGCAAUCCGCUUUGAGAUGGCCUCGCGUCCGAUUAGCUAGUUGGUGAGGUAAUGGCCCACCAAGGCAACGAUCGGUAGCCGGACUGAGAGGUUGAACGGCCACAUUGGGACUGAGACACGGCCCAGACUCCUACGGGAGGCAGCAGUGGGGAAUAUUGCACAAUGGGGGAAACCCUGAUGCAGCGACGCCGCGUGGAGGAAGAAGGUCUUCGGAUUGUAAACUCCUGUUGUUGAGGAAGAUAAUGACGGUACUCAACAAGGAAGUGACGGCUAACUACGUGCCAGCAGCCGCGGUAAAACGUAGGUCACAAGCGUUGUCCGGAAUUACUGGGUGUAAAGGGAGCGCAGGCGGGAAGACAAGUUGGAAGUGAAAUCUAUGGGCUCAACCCAUAAACUGCUUUCAAAACUGUUUUUCUUGAGUAGUGCAGAGGUAGGCGGAAUUCCCGGUGUAGCGGUGGAAUGCGUAGAUAUCGGGAGGAACACCAGUGG